UGCUCCGCUCCAUCGCAUGGUGGGGUGGGAAAUGCUUUUGCGGCAUGGGAUGGGGUCGCGUCCUAUCAGCUUGUUGGCGGGGUGAUGGCCCACCAAGGCGUUGACGGGUAGCCGGCCUGAGAGGGUGACCGGCCACAUUGGGACUGAGAUACGGCCCAGACUCCUACGGGAGGCAGCAGUGGGGAAUAUUGCACAAUGGGCGCAAGCCUGAUGCAGCGACGCCGCGUGCGGGAUGGAGGCCUUCGGGUUGUAAACCGCUUUUGUUCAAGGGCAAGGCACGGUUUCGGCCGUGUUGAGUGGAUUGUUCGAAUAAGCACCGGCUAACUACGUGCCAGCAGCCGCGGUAAUACGUAGGGUGCGAGCGUUAUCCGGAUUUAUUGGGCGUAAAGGGCUCGUAGGCGGUUCGUCGCGUCCGGUGUGAAAGUCCAUCGCCUAACGGUGGAUCUGCGCCGGGUACGGGCGGGCUGGAGUGCGGUAGGGGAGACUGGAAUUCCCGGUGUAACGGUGGAAUGUGUAGAUAUCGGGAAGAACACCAAUGGCGAAGGCGGUUCUCUGGGCCUUUCCUGACGCUGAGGAGCGAAAGCGUGGGGAGCGAACAGGCUUAGAUACCCUGGUAGUCCACGCUGUAAACGGUGGGUACUAGGUGUGGGGUCCAUUCCACGGGUUCCGCGCCGUAGCUAACGCUUUAAGUACCCCGCCUGGGGAGUACGGCCGCAAGGCUAAAACUCAAAGGAAUUGACGGGGCCCCGCACAAGCGGCGGAGCAUGCGGAUUAAUUCGAUGCAACGCGUAGAACCUUACCUGGGUUUGACAUGGAUCGGGAGUGCUCAGAGAUGGGUGUGCCUCUUUUGGGGUCGGUUCACAGGUGGUGCAUGGCUGUCGUCGGCUCGUGUCGUGAGAUGUUGGGUUAAGUCCCGCAACGAGCGCAACCCUUGUUCACUGUUGCCAGCACGUUAUGGUGGGGACUCAGUGGAGACCGCCGGGGUCAACUCGGAGGAAGGUGGGGAUGACGUCAAGUCAUCAUGCCCCUUAUGUCCAGGGCCUCACGCAUGCUACAAUGGCUGGUACAGAGAGUGGCGAGCCUGUGAGGGUGAGCGAAUCUCGGAAAGCCGGUCUCAGUUCGGAUUGGGGUCUGCAACUCGACCUCAUGAAGUCGGAGUCGCUAGUAAUCGCAGAUCAGCAACGC
rnacentral:rRNA from 1 species